rnacentral:rRNA from 1 species
AAUCUACCUUUCACAAAGGGAUAGCCCAGAGAAAUUUGGAUUAAUACCUUAUAGUAUUAUAGAAUGGCAUCAUUUUGUAAUUAAAGAUUUAUCGGUGAAAGAUGAGCAUGCGUCCCAUUAGCUAGUUGGUAUGGUAACGGCAUACCAAGGCAACGAUGGGUAGGGGUCCUGAGAGGGAGAUCCCCCACACUGGUACUGAGACACGGACCAGACUCCUACGGGAGGCAGCAGUGAGGAAUAUUGGACAAUGGGCGCAAGCCUGAUCCAGCCAUGCCGCGUGCAG